rnacentral:rRNA from 1 species
AGAGUUUGAUCAUGGCUCAGAUUGAACGCUGGCGGCAGGCCUAACACAUGCAAGUCGAGCGGCAGCGGGGGGAAGCUUGCUUCCCCGCCGGCGAGCGGCGGACGGGUGAGUAAUGUCUGGGAAACUGCCUGAUGGAGGGGGAUAACUACUGGAAACGGUAGCUAAUACCGCAUAACGUCGCAAGACCAAAGAGGGGGACCUUCGGGCCUCUUGCCAUCGGAUGUGCCCAGAUGGGAUUAGCUAGUAGGUGAGGUAAAGGCUCACCUAGGCGACGAUCCCUAGCUGGUCUGAGAGGAUGACCAGCCACACUGGAACUGAGACACGGUCCAGACUCCUACGGGAGGCAGCAGUGGGGAAUAUUGCACAAUGGGCGCAAGCCUGAUGCAGCCAUGCCGCGUGUGUGAAGAAGGCCUUCGGGUUGUAAAGCACUUUCAGCGGGGAGGAAGGGAGCAGACUUAAUACGUCUGUUCAUUGACGUUACCCGCAGAAGAAGCACCGGCUAACUCCGUGCCAGCAGCCGCGGUAAUACGGAGGGUGCAAGCGUUAAUCGGAAUGACUGGGCGUAAAGCGCACGCAGGCGGUCUGUUAAGUUGGAUGUGAAAUCCCCGGGCUUAACCUGGGAACUGCAUUCAAAACUGACAGGCUAGAGUCUCGUAGAGGGGGGUAGAAUUCCAGGUGUAGCGGUGAAAUGCGUAGAGAUCUGGAGGAAUACCGGUGGCGAAGGCGGCCCCCUGGACGAAGACUGACGCUCAGGUGCGAAAGCGUGGGGAGCAAACAGGAUUAGAUACCCUGGUAGUCCACGCUGUAAACGAUGUCGAUUUGGAGGUUGUGCCCUUGAGGCGUGGCUUCCGGAGCUAACGCGUUAAAUCGACCGCCUGGGGAGUACGGCCGCAAGGUUAAAACUCAAAUGAAUUGACGGGGGCCCGCACAAGCGGUGGAGCAUGUGGUUUAAUUCGAUGCAACGCGAAGAACCUUACCUACUCUUGACAUCCAGAGAAGCCUGCAGAGAUGCGGGUGUGCCUUCGGGAGCUCUGAGACAGGUGCUGCAUGGCUGUCGUCAGCUCGUGUUGUGAAAUGUUGGGUUAAGUCCCGCAACGAGCGCAACCCUUAUCCUUUGUUGCCAGCACUUCGGGUGGGAACUCAAGGGAGACUGCCGGUGAUAAACCGGAGGAAGGUGGGGAUGACGUCAAGUCAUCAUGGCCCUUACGAGUAGGGCUACACACGUGCUACAAUGGCGUAUACAAAGAGAAGCGACCUCGCGAGAGCAAGCGGACCUCAUAAAGUACGUCGUAGUCCGGAUUGGAGUCUGCAACUCGACUCCAUGAAGUCGGAAUCGCUAGUAAUCGUAGAUCAGAAUGCUACGGUGAAUACGUUCCCGGGCCUUGUACACACCGCCCGUCACACCAUGGGAGUGGGUUGCAAAAGAAGUAGGUAGCUUAACCUUCGGGAGGGCGCUUACCACUUUGUGAUUCAUGACUGGGGUGAAGUCGUAACAAGGUAACC